UCCUGCUGUAUCAACGUAAACAAGUUGUUCGUCACCCUCCGGUUAUUUUGCUGCAGCCAGACUGCGGCAAGUGACAUCUCCUCAUCUGAAGGGAAGCACCUUCAAUGCUGAAAUGAAGUCCCCUCGAUGCUGAAACAAAGUCCCCCCAAAUCCUCUCAUGCUGAAUUGAAGUUCCCUCGGGCUGAAUUUGAGUCUAUGCAUUGCAGAAGUGGAUUCCCCUCAGUACUGAAGUGAUGUCCCCUCAAUGCUGAAGUGAAGUCCUCUCUCAUGUUGAAUGGAAGUCCCUCAAUGUGAAGUGAAGAUCCCUCAUGCUGAAUUGGAGUCCUCUCAAAGAUGACGUGGAUUCCCCUAAAUGCUUAAGUGAAAUCCCCUCAUCCUAAAGUGGAGUUCCCCCAUCCUGAAGGGAAGUCCUCUCAUGCUGUAGUGAAAUCUCCCAUGCUGAUGUAGAGUCUUCUCAAUGCUGAAAUAAAGUCCCCUCAAUGCUGACAUAGAAUCCCCUCAUUCUGAAUGGAAGACCCUUCACACUGAAGGUAAGUCCCCUUCUGCUUUCUGCUGAAGUGAAGUACUGUCAGUACUGAAGUGGAUUUCCCAUAAAUGCUGAAGAAAGAUCCUCAAUGCUGAAGUGAAUGAAGUGCCUUAAUGCUGAAGUGGAAUUUCUUUGAUGUUGAAAUAAAGUCCCCUCAUGCUGAAGUGAAGAACCCUAUGCUUAAGUCCUCUCAUGCUGAAGUGGAUUCCUCUCCAUGCUGAAGUGAAGUCCUCUCUUGCUGAACUGGAUUGCCCUCAUGCUUAAGGUAAAUCCCCUCAUGUUUAAGUUGAGUCUCUCAGAACUGAAGUGGAAUCUCCUUAAUGAUGAAGUCCCAUCAUGUUGAAGUUCCCUCUUGCUCAAGUGAAAUCACCUCACACCAGAUUGAAGUCACCUCAUUCUUAAGUAAGUCCCCUCAUGCUGAAGUGGAAUCCCCUCACCCUAAAGUGAAGUCCCCUCAGCUGCAGUGAACUCUCCUCAUGUUGAUCAAAGACCCCUCAUGCUGAAGUGAUAUCCACUCAAAGCUGAAAUUGAGUGCACUCAGUGCUGAAAUGGAUUCCCCUCAGUACUAAAGUGAUGUUCCCUCAAUGCUGCAGUGAAGUCCCCUUAUUCUGAAGAUUAAUUUCCUUGCUCAAGUGAAGUCCCCUCAUACUAAGGUGAAGUCCCUGCAUGCUGAAGAGGAAUCCUCUCAGGUUGACUUUGAGUCCCCUCAAUGCUGCUGUGGAAUCCCCUUAUGCUGUUUGUCUUUGAGUCUCCUCAUGCUGAUGUGAAGUACCCACAUGCUGAAGCAAAUUCCCUUCAAUGCUGAGGUGAAGUCCGCACUUGCUGAAGGGAAGUCCCCUCUUGGUGAAGUUAAGUCCCUUCAUGCUCAAGUGAAAUCCCCCCAAAUCCCUUUAUGCUUAAGUGCAAUGACCUCAUGCUGAAGUGAAUUCCCCUCAUGCUGAAGUGGAAUCCCCUCAGUGUUGAUGUGGACUCCCCUCAAUGCUGAAGCAAAGUCCCCUCUUGCUGGCAUGAAUUGCCCUCAUCCUCAAGUGGAAUCCUCUUUUACUGUAGUGGAAUCCCCUCAUGCUGAAGUGAUGUCCCCUCAUUCUGAAAUAAAGUCCCCUUAUGAUUAAAUGGUAUCCCCACACACUGAAGUGAAAUCCCCUCAAUGUUGCAGUGAAGUUCCU
rnacentral:lncRNA from 1 species